rnacentral:lncRNA from 1 species
CUCGGGGCAUGGGGGUGAGGAGAUCCAGAAGCUCUCAGAGUUAGAAAGAGGCUGAAUAUCGAGUCGAGAUGAAGAUUGUUAGAAUUUGAUGUCUCAAGAUCCAAUCCACACCAAGUCCACAGUGAGGUCCACGAUGACGAAUGAAGUCCAACGAGCCCAAGAUCAGCCCAAAUAGAGUCCCGAUGGAGAAGUUACGCACGAAAGAAGCCUGG